AUUGAACGCUGGCGGCAUGCCUUACACAUGCAAGUCGAACGGCAGCACGGAGCUUGCUCUGGUGGCGAGUGGCGAACGGGUGAGUAAUAUAUCGGAACGUACCCAAGAGUGGGGGAUAACGUAGCGAAAGUUACGCUAAUACCGCAUACGAUCUAAGGAUGAAAGCAGGGGACCGCAAGGCCUUGUGCUCCUGGAGCGGCCGAUAUCUGAUUAGCUAGUUGGUGAGGUAAAGGCUCACCAAGGCAUCGAUCAGUAGCUGGUCUGAGAGGACGACCAGCCACACUGGAACUGAGACACGGUCCAGACUCCUACGGGAGGCAGCAGUGGGGAAUUUUGGACAAUGGGGGCAACCCUGAUCCAGCAAUGCCGCGUGAGUGAAGAAGGCCUUCGGGUUGUAAAGCUCUUUUGUCAGGGAAGAAACGGUGAAGGCUAAUAUCCUUUGCUAAUGACGGUACCUGAAGAAUAAGCACCGGCUAACUACGUGCCAGCCGCCGCCGUAA
rnacentral:rRNA from 1 species